rnacentral:lncRNA from 1 species
CGACUCGAGGUUGCCAGAUGAGCUGCAGGAUUCAGCAGAAACGUAGGCUGCUUCAAUGAGCUUCCAAUAGCAAGUGACGAACAGACGUACACAGUAAGUUUUUUUUCUGUUAAUUAUGUUUAUGCUUCAUGAGAGAUAUUUUGAUAAGUAAUUAUGUAUUUAAAAAAUGUACUAAUUGUCAUUAGUUAAAUAUAAUCGUAAAGAUUUAUGCUCGUAUGUGACAGUAUAAUCGUAAAGAUGUAUGCUCGUAUGUGACAGUAUAAUCAGACGUCCAUGUGAGCUAACGUUAUGUUACUUUGCACAAACAUGCAUAACUUUGUUCGACUGUCAUGAAUAUAUGAAAUGUCCAUUGACAUCAAGUACAAGUUAGCCAAGCAUAGAUGAAUCUUACCUGUCCAGGAGAAAAUUAGCAACGUUGGCGUCUGUGUUCAAAUUCUUCUCCGUUUUCAGCCGUCUCCAUCUUUCAAAAGCAUCUCCAAUCUUAAUAUAUUUUACUGGAUAGUUAUACUAUAUGUGGUCUGCAAAUGUGGUUGUUGGCUAAAGUUAAUUUUGGACCCUGUUUAAAUGUAAUCAUUAGUAUUUUUUCAGGGCAAUCAUUUAAAUUGCUUCUUAUUCACAUUAGCAGGUCAUAACAGCAUCAGAGGAGAGGAUACAGAUCAUUUUCACUCAUACAACCCAUUAACGCCAAGCCAGUUCAGCCGAGGUUCAACUACAGCGAGCGUCUGGCAGCUACAGGGUGAAGGAUUCAUUCAAAACCCAGAUCUCAUGCCAGGCCGAGCUGUUCCACGAGGGUCUGCCCAUGUUCCCUCGGCUCCUCUGCCCACUCCUGAAGUGCUGGGAGGCAGAAGCACUGCGUGUGGAUUCAGCUCUAGACCGCAGAGUCAAACUCACUGGAGCUCACCUGAGAAUGAUUUGCCCAACAAGACAGGAGAGGAGAGGAAGAGGCGAGGAGGAGAAGAUGUGCACAGUGUGCUUCCGCACAGCAAGAGAGGAAGACUGCUAUGUGAACGAGUUCCAGGCCGAAAUGAUGGACAGACCAGUAAAUUGUUUUACUUGCCACUUUAGAAAAUCUUGUUUUUGUAUUUAUUUAUUUAUUUAUGUUACAGUGCAUAGAAAUCCCACUGACUUUCACUGUACUGUACAAAAAACACUAUUUUUUUUAAAGUAAUUAUAUGAACUUUAUGAGUUUUGCUCUAUCAUUCUGUGUCUGUGUGGUUAUUCUCAGUGCUUCCGCACAGCAAGAGAGGAAGACUGCUAUGUGAACGAGUUCCAGGCCGAAAUGAUGGACAGACCAGACUGCGAUUUUUCUGAGGAAGUUUUGCUACUUUAUGUUAAGUAUAUCACUCACUUGAGUGAUAUUUUAGAAUACUUCUCACGCUCAUCUGUAUUUUCAGUUUUCAUGUAGAAUGUAAUGUUACAUUAAUACAGUUCAGUCAUAUGUCCGUUAAAAUAUAUGUAUAUAUUUUAUAGUAAAUGUAUAUAAUGAAUGGUUUAUAAUAAAUGUAGAUAUUGUUCCAAUAAUUAGUACAUAUUAAUGUUUAAACUAUCACCCUUUAGAUGUAUUUAUAUCAGUAUUUAUAUCAGAAUGACAGUUGCAAUAAAAAAACAAGAAAAAGAAACGGUCAAAUCAAACCUUUCUUUUAAUAUAUUUCAAAUUGACUUGAUUACAAAAUAAACAUACAUUUUGUUAGAUUUAAUAUUUUUAUUAUUAUUUAUUUUUUAGAGGGUAUCCACAGUUGCAACAAUUUACAAAUUUAGUUUUCCAGGACUUGAAAUGUCAUGAAAAUUAAUGAAAUCUUGAAAAUUGAACAUGUAUUUUUAAAUUAUGCUCAACUUUUUAAAAUAUUUUAGUAUAUAGCUAUGAAUUAAUACUUGCUAUUUAGGGUUAGGGUUAGAGUUAGGGUUAGGUUAGGGUUAAUACUUGCUAUUUAAAAAAAUCAUUCAUUAAUACAAAUUGAUUUAUUAACUUUUUUUAUUAAAAUGCAGUAUUAAAUUUAAAUUCAGUAUUUGUAUUAUUUGUCGUUUUUUACAGGGUUCUCCACAGUCAUUGUUUUAUAUGGUAAAUACAGUGAUUAUGUAUUGUUCUAAUUAUGCUCAAUUCUAAAAUUAUUUGGAUUUUACAACUACUAAUAUCUACUUGUGAAAGUAGUAAUUUGUAAUUUCAACUUUUUUGUCAUUAUUUUUUUCAAAUUCAUGAACAGCUGGAACAGUAUUUGAAAUUUACUAAUCAAAACGUUUUAGUGUUACAGGAGAUUAUUAGAUGUAACUAGACUUAUCUUCUUAAAUGUGCUGCUUAGGGUGCAACAGAAGGUUUGAGCUUUGAUUGUUUAAAAGUAUUUAGAGCUGUUUUGUUUUUUUCACUAAUUAUAAGACUCCAGAAUUACUGGCUUUAAUUAAUGGCUUUUUUUCUACUGACCUUUGACCUACAGUUGAGAGUGAGUGUAUGUACACAUGCAACUGUUAGCUUUACAGUCUGUUCACGGAAGCAGGUGUAAAGAAUGCAUCUGAAUGCAGAUGAAAGAGUUCUAUUCAAACGUGACACUGUAUUGAGAAAUUUACAUUUCCCGCUACACGUUACUGAUGCGACGCCGCUUAUUUAGAGGAGGUCACGCCGGUCUGGAACUGAAUAAAUCAUUCAGUAUGUGAAGCUGAAUUGAUUGGCGUUAAAAAAGCAUUUUCAAAUUACCAGUCUGGAUGCAGAUUGUUGACUACAGUGACAGUGGCCAUUCAUUUAUCUCCCACACCAUACACAUUUCCAGCCCCUCGCUAUUUUCUGAAAUGAGCGUGAUAGAAAGAUAGUCAUUCAAUUACAGGACGAUCUUCUUAUCGCUGACAGUCAGAGCAGAGGGAAAGCGCUGCACAGACAGAGGAAGAGGAAGAGAGGGAGAGCGAUGGGGGUCGGAGGGCUUAUCUCAGCACACCAGCAGUCUGACGGCAGCCCCUCGCAGGAAUGAGCUCCAGAACAGACACUCCCACAGGGCAUUUUCCUCUCUCCAUCACUCUCCCUUUCACUCUCUCUGCACCUCGUGAGCCUCAGCCUCUGUAAAACACCAAACAGCCUCCAUAAAUAACUCCAACAGCAUCUGAACUGCCCCUACUCAAACAAAAGCAAAUAAAACAGCAGUGUUUGGAGGGAGGAAGACGUGUGUCCAGUCUGAGGCAGUAAAACACAGUGAAUGAAUACGUCAGUAAUGCGACCGUAAUCACAGCGCUCUUUCAGAUGGAAAAAAGCUGUGAGAACAGAGCAUGCUGUUUAAAUCUGAACCUGUUUAACCACUCUCUUCAUUGCAAACAAUGGGUCAAUUCUCUUGUCGCCCUUAUUGCAGUGUCAACAGUGUUUAACAAUGUCAACUAAAUGCUCAAAUAGGAACAGUUGGGGAAGGUUUCUGCAUUUAAUUGGUCUGAACAAACCACUAACCCCUACAGUAAGUUGCAUUUGCAUUUCUUUAUUGUGCCAUUUUCCCCCUUGUUUUAUUUUUGUAUCUUAUAUCUGAACCUGUUUAACCACUCUCUUCAUUGCAAACAAUGGGUCAAUUCUCUUGUCGCCCUUAUUGCAGUGUCAACAGUGUUUAACAAUGUCAACUAAAUGCUCAAAUAGGAACAGUUGGGGAAGGUUUCUGCAUUUAAUUGGUCUGUAACAAACCACUAACCCCUACAGUAAGUUGCAUUUGCAUUUCUUAUGUGCCAUUUCCCCCUGUUUAUUUUGUAUCUUAUACAUAAAAUUAUAUAUAAUUUUAUAUAUAUAUAUAUAUAUAUAUAUAUAUAUAUAUAUAUAUAUAAAAGUGAUUGUAAUACAUUUUACUAUGAUGCAUUUUUAUGAUAUGUAUAAUAUGAUAUUUAGCCAAUAAAUUAAUAAAUAAACAAACCAACAAACAAAUAUAUAGGCUGGGAUUUGACAAAAA